GUGGGGAAUAUUGGACAAUGGGCGCAAGCCUGAUCCAGCCAUGCCGCGUGAGUGAUGAAGGCCCUAGGGUUGUAAAGCUCUUUCACCGAUGAAGAUAAUGACGGUAGUCGGAGAAGAAGCCCCGGCUAACUUCGUGCCAGCAGCCGCGGUAAUACGAAGGGGGCUAGCGUUGUUCGGAAUUACUGGGCGUAAAGCGCACGUAGGCGGAUAUUUAAGUCAGGGGUGAAAUCCCAGAGCUCAACUCUGGAACUGCCUUUGAUACUGGGUAUCUCGAGUAUGGAAGAGGUGAGUGGAAUUCCGAGUGUAGAGGUGAAAUUCGUAGAUAUUCGGAGGAACACCAGUGGCGAAGGCGGCUCACUGGUCCAUUACUGACGCUGAGGUGCGAAAGCGUGGGGAGCAAACAGGAUUAGAAACCCGGGUAGUCC
rnacentral:rRNA from 1 species